UCGCGAAAACUUUACAAUGCUGGCAACAGCGAUAAGGGAACCUCGAGUGCCAGGUUACAAAUCUGGCUGUCGAGAUGCCUAAAAAGCAUUUCAUAGCAAGGGCCGGGCAAGACCGGUGCCAGCCGCCGCGGUAACACCGGCGGCUCGAGUGGUAACCGUUAUUAUUGGGUCUAAAGGGUCUGUAGCCGGCCGGAUAAGUCUCUUGAGAAAUCUGGCAGCUUAACUGUCAGGCUUUCAGGAGAUACUGUCUGGCUCGAGGCCGGGAGAGGUGAGAGGUACUUCAGGGGUAGGGGUGAAAUCUUGUAAUCCUUGAAGGACCACCAGUGGCGAAGGCGUCUCACCAGAACGGACCUGACGGCAAGGGACGAAAGUUAGGGGCACGAACCG
rnacentral:rRNA from 1 species